GACGAACGCUGGCGGCGUGCUUAACACAUGCAAGUCGAACGGAAAGGCCUCUUUCGGGGGGUACUCGAGUGGCGAACGGGUGAGUAACACGUGAGUAACCUGCCCUUGACUUUGGGAUAACUUCAGGAAACUGGGGCUAAUACCGGAUAGGAGCUCCUGCUGCAUGGUGGGGGUUGGAAAGUUUCGGCGGUUGGGGGUGGACUCGCGGCUUAUUAGCUUGUUGGUGGGGUAGUGGCUUACCAAGGCUUUGACGGGUAGCCGGCCUGAGAGGGUGACCGGCCACAUUGGGACUGAGAUACGGCCCAGACGCCUACGGGAGGCAGCAGUGGGGAAUAUUGCACAAUGGGUGGAAGCCUGAUGCAGCAACGCCGUGUGCGGGAUGACGGCCUUCGGGUUGUAAACCGCUUUCGCUCAUGACGAAGCUUUGUGUGACGGUAGUGGGUAAAGAAGCACCGGCUAACUACGUG
rnacentral:rRNA from 1 species